rnacentral:lncRNA from 1 species
UUCCACAGAAGAGGGGCAGAGUCUAAAUGGCAUGGACAUGGCAGGAGAAGAGGAUUUUAAAACAUCCCAAAGCAAGUGUUCCUUUGCAGAUCGCAUGUAUGGAUGGACUUAGCUAAAGUGGAUGAGAGGGUGUUCUGAUGGAGGCAUGAACACUGAAUAUAGGAGAGAACACGGCAUGUUCAGACACUGAAGAAAAAUCCCAUAUGGGUAGAGGAUUAAGUAUAAAAGAGAAACUUGAGCAUUGGGGAAAACUAAGAAAGAGGAAUACGUACGAUCCAGGAAAUACUGUGCCAAAACUAAAAAAAUAAGGAAGUUCCUGACUGUAGCAGAUUAAGGUAGAAACUCAGCCAUAUUGAAGCAAGAAAGCAAAAAAUCCUGGAAUGAAUAUCUCCAGCGGAAAAGUAAACUCUAUGUAACAAAGUAGAAUUGAAAGGAAGGCAAGAUAAAUAAAAUUAUAAAAACUGUUUCAAUGAGGAAAAGUCACUUCUUCUCGGAACGUUCUUGCUUAUAAUGCCUUUAUCAAGAGUAUUUGCUUUUUGGACCUCCUCUGUGGGUACUUCCUUUACAACUGGCUCCAAUCAACCUUUCCUUCCAAGUACUCUGCCUUCUUUUCUCAGGUGAGUUAGUCAUAUGUGUAUCUGCAGCUAAAUAAUACAGUUACAAAGGGAGUGUUUUGUUAUUCUCUAUGGUUUGCAAC